UAGGUUAACGCCUUCCUCUGAGGCAACUGCACGGGUGUUACCGUCCAGCACCACGAGGAUUCCGUUUACUUCAGAUCUUGGGCGCGCGCUCUCACGGUAAACGAAAAAGCCAAUAGGAGCUCAGAGAGAGACCAGAGAGAUAUCCCCCCUUCACUGGUACAGCUGACUGAACUACUGGGGGACAAAGUGAACACACUCUGAAAGACUGUCUCACUAGACGAACAGCAUUUUCUUUAAUUAUAGGUUUGGGAAAUGGUUCAGGUCACUCGAGGUCUGCACCACCCAAUGAUGAUCCGUGUUCACCAAGCCUAUCCUCCCUCUACUCGUUGUGUGGAUCGUGGAUGUGCUGCUGGGCGGGGCUUCAGAGCUGCCAACAGAACACAACACA
ensembl:lncRNA